AUCAAGGUGAAAAGCGCUUAUGCAAAUAAGCUACGAAAACAAAUCAAGGCGAAAACAAAUCAUGGAUUCGCGUUUACAAUAACAACAUCACGCUUCAUAUCAGAGCAUCGCGCUCAUCACUAUAGCUCAUGGAUUCGUGUUCUUGGAUUUAUUUCGACAUCAUUCAUGGAAGUUCGUAAAACCGAGGCGAGACUCAGAUCGAAACGAGAAAUGACUCACCGAAUUUCCAAGAACAGGUUAGCUUAUGGAGAUCGAAACAGGUAUCUCUGCGAAACCCUUUCGGUGUUCAGAAUUUGGUCUUCCCUAUUUUAUGCUUGGAUCCGGAGAAGGCUAUAGCACAGCGUUUCUGAAUCAUCACAGCAAGAGAUAUACAGCUUUAAAAGUAAUGUGCUUUGAAAAAAGGUGUUUUUGUUAUGAAAAUCCUAGGGUGGAGUUCUAGUAUGGAUGAAGUUCUUAGAUCCGCUUCUGGUUCGGUUGAGGAUGUGAAACUGUUUUGCUAUGAUCAAACUCAGAUUUGAGAAGAAGUUCUUUUUGGGUGUGGUUGGUUUUCUUGAUUUCAAUUGAUUUUGUUCAUACCGUGCAGGUUAACCAUUUGCCUUGGAAGUUAUGUUAGAGGCUGCUAUGGAGUUUUCGGUUUUGUAUGGAGGUUAACCAACCAAUUAGUAAGGGCAGAUUCAGGUUGUGGCUUUGAAUCGUGCUGUUGGAGGUUAGGUGGAUAUCAUUUGGGUUGAAAUUCGUUGGACAGUUGGAAGUUCGGUUGGAAUUUGUUAUGAUUCUAUUCUAAAUUCAGUUGAAAUUUGGAAAUUCGGUUAGAUGUUGGUUUUUACUAAAGUUCUAUUAGUGAAGUGAUUUAGAAAAUGCUGUUAGAUAGUGAAUUAUUCUUUUGUGCAGUUAGUAAAAAUGUUGUUAUGAAUAUUGUUAAUUCUGUUAGAUGUUGAAUGUUGUUAGUUCAAUUGAUUAUAAUGCUUUUAAUCGAAACUGAUGGAAAUAUGUUAUAUUAGCUAAUGUGAAGUGAAAAAUCAGAAUUGAAACGAACAUUGUAUUUCUUACCAA